rnacentral:tRNA from 1 species
AAAUUUUUAGUUUAAUAAAGAAUAUUUUGUUUACACCAAAAAGGUUAAGAAUUUU